AUUGAACGCUGGCGGCAUGCCUUACACAUGCAAGUCGAACGGCAGCACGGGGCAACCUGGUGGCGAGUGGCGAACGGGUGAGUAAUGCAUCGGAACGUACCUUUCAGUGGGGGAUAACGUAGCGAAAGUUACGCUAAUACCGCAUAUUCUGUGAGCAGGAAAGCAGGGGAUCGCAAGACCUUGCGCUGAUUGAGCGGCCGAUGUCAGAUUAGCUAGUUGGUGAGGUAAAGGCUCACCAAGGCGACGAUCUGUAGCGGGUCUGAGAGGAUGAUCCGCCACACUGGAACUGAGACACGGUCCAGACUCCUACGGGAGGCAGCAGUGGGGAAUUUUGGACAAUGGGGGCAACCCUGAUCCAGCCAUGCCGCGUGAGUGAAGAAGGCCUUCGGGUUGUAAGGCUCUUUCGGCCGGGAAGAAAUCGCACGGGCUAAUACCCUGUGUGGAUGACGGUACCGGAAUAAGAAGCACCGGCUAACUACGUGCCAGCCGCCGCGGUAUAC
rnacentral:rRNA from 1 species